rnacentral:lncRNA from 1 species
AAGGAGCCUGCAGGUGGAAAGACAGAUGGGGGCAAGCAGAUGGAAUGUCCCUCACAAAUCUGAUUUACCAGCACAACCACACUCACCCAACGCAUUUCAAAUGACAGCACUCCUCAAAGAGGUUUGUUUGCCACGUUAAAUCACAAUUCAUGCAAACACAGCUGUUUCCCGGGGAACAUGCACACCUAGCGACUGGCCAGGCUCACUACCCUCAGCCAGUGUCACAGCACAGUGAAGCCCUGCAGAGCUCCUGGCUCUAAGGCACCCUCCCACAGUGUGCUCAGUGCUGACCAAAUUCCUGCACGAACAAACAAGCUGUAAGCAGCUCUCCGGUUUCUCACGAGCGAGUUGCUGGUGCUGAGCUCCUGGUGUGCACAACAGCAUCAGGUCUGCUGCUAAGAAACGUGCUCACUUGCUAAGUGCUUUCCAGCCCCUCAGGGUCAGAGCAGAUCUGGAGCAUCUGGUCUGGGUCCCAACUUAGAGCCUUGGAAAGGGCUGUCUCACUCUCGCUGUGAAACACAGGGCCCUGCUGCAAGGUGCCUACUGACAAAGCUGGAAGGAGCCUGUCUGGAAGGGAAAGUGUUGCUGCCGGAGCUUUAUUCCAGAGCCAAGAGUCUUUCUGCGCUGCCCUGCGCCCUGCCCAGAUGGAAGCCCCGGUUCAGCAGUUGAGCUCAUUGCCCACAGGAGCCAGUCAGGCCUCCAGCGCGUGGCACGGGGUUGGAGAGAGCUUGCACGGAAAUGCUGCCGUGUAAAACCCAAUAAAAUAAAGCUGUGAGCGGAG